rnacentral:rRNA from 1 species
UACGUAGGGUGCAAGCGUUAAUCGGAAUUACUGGGCGUAAAGCGUGCGCAGACGGUUGCGUAAGUCAGAUGUGAAAGCCCCGGGCUCAACCUGGGAAUUGCGAUGGAGACUGCAAGGCUUGAAUCUGGCAGAGGGGGGUAGAAUUCCACGUGUAGCAGUGAAAUGCGUAGAGAUGUGGAGGAACACCGAUGGCGAAGGCAGCCCCCUGGGUCAAGAUUGACGCUCAUGCACGAAAGCGUGGGGAGCAAACAGG